rnacentral:rRNA from 1 species
GUGUCAGCAGCCGCGGUAAUACGGAGGAUGCAAGCGUUAUCCGGAUUCAUUGGGUUUAAAGGGUGCGUAGGCGGCCUUUUAAGUCAGUGGUGAAAUCCUGCCGCUUAACGGUAGAAUUGCCAUUGAUACUGAAAGGCUUGAGUCCAGUUGAGGUAAGCGGAAUGUGUAGUGUAGCGGUGAAAUGCUUAGAUAUUACACAGAACACCAAUUGCGAAGGCAGCUUACUAAACUGGCACUGACGCUGAUGCACGAAAGCGUGGGGAGCGAACAGGAUUAGAUACCCUGGUAGUCC